rnacentral:rRNA from 1 species
GAUGAACGCUGGCGGCGUGCCUAAUACAUGCAAGUCGAGCGAACGGACGAGAAGCUUGCUUCUCUGAUGUUAGCGGCGGACGGGUGAGUAACACGUGGAUAACCUACCUAUAAGACUGGGAUAACUUCGGGAAACCGGAGCUAAUACCGGAUAAUAUUUUGAACCGCAUGGUUCAAAAGUGAAAGACGGUCUUGCUGUCACUUAUAGAUGGAUCCGCGCUGCAUUAGCUAGUUGGUAAGGUAACGGCUUACCAAGGCAACGAUGCAUAGCCGACCUGAGAGGGUGAUCGGCCACACUGGAACUGAGACACGGUCCAGACUCCUACGGGAGGCAGCAGUAGGGAAUCUUCCGCAAUGGGCGAAAGCCUGACGGAGCAACGCCGCGUGAGUGAUGAAGGUCUUCGGAUCGUAAAACUCUGUUAUUAGGGAAGAACAUAUGUGUAAGUAACUGUGCACAUCUUGACGGUACCUAAUCAGAAAGCCACGGCUAACUACGUGCCAGCAGCCGCGGUAAUACGUAGGUGGCAAGCGUUAUCCGGAAUUAUUGGGCGUAAAGCGCGCGUAGGCGGUUUUUUAAGUCUGAUGUGAAAGCCCACGGCUCAACCGUGGAGGGUCAUUGGAAACUGGAAAACUCGAGUGCAGAAGAGGAAAGUGGAAUUCCAUGUGUAGCGGUGAAAUGCGCAGAGAUAUGGAGGAACACCAGUGGCGAAGGCGACUUUCUGGUCUGUAACUGACGCUGAUGUGCGAAAGCGUGGGGAUCAAACAGGAUUAGAUACCCUGGUAGUCCGCGCCGUAAACGAUGAGUGCUAAGUGUUAGGGGGUUUCCGCCCCUUAGUGCUGCAGCUAACGCAUUAAGCACUCCGCCUGGGGAGUACGACCGCAAGGUUGAAACUCAAAGGAAUUGACGGGGACCCGCACAAGCGGUGGAGCAUGUGGUUUAAUUCGAAGCAACGCGAAGAACCUUACCAAAUCUUGACAUCCUUUGACAACUCUAGAGAUAGAGCCUUCCCCUUCGGGGGACAAAGUGACAGGUGGUGCAUGGUUGUCGUCAGCUCGUGUCGUGAGAUGUUGGGUUAAGUCCCGCAACGAGCGCAACCCUUAAGCUUAGUUGCCAUCAUUAAGUUGGGCACUCUAAGUUGACUGCCGGUGACAAACCGGAGGAAGGUGGGGAUGACGUCAAAUCAUCAUGCCCCUUAUGAUUUGGGCUACACACGUGCUACAAUGGACAAUACAAAGGGCAGCGAAACCGCGAGGUCAAGCAAAUCCCAUAAAGUUGUUCUCAGUUCGGAUUGUAGUCUGCAACUCGACUACAUGAAGCUGGAAUCGCUAGUAAUCGUAGAUCAGCAUGCUACGGUGAAUACGUUCCCGGGUCU